GACGAACGCUGGCGGCGUGCUUAACACAUGCAAGUCGAACGGAAAGGCCCUGCUUUUGUGGGGUGCUCGAGUGGCGAACGGGUGAGUAACACGUGAGUAACCUGCCCUUGACUUUGGGAUAACUUCAGGAAACUGGGGCUACUACCGGAUAGGAGCUCCUGCUGCAUGGUGGGGGUUGGAAAGUUUCGGCGGUUGGGGAUGGACUCGCGGCUUAUCAGCUUGUUGGUGGGGUAGUGGCUUACCAAGGCUUUGACGGGUAGCCGGCCUGAGAGGGUGACCGGCCACAUUGGGCCUGAGAUACGGCCCAGACUCCUACGGGAGGCAGCAGUGGGGAAUAUUGCACAAUGGGAGGAAGCCUGAUGCAGCAACGCCGCGUGCGGGAUGACGGCCUUCGGGUUGUAAACCGCUUUCGCCUGUGACGAAGCGUGAGUGACGGUAAUGGGUAAAGAAGCACCGGCUAACUACGUG
rnacentral:rRNA from 1 species